rnacentral:lncRNA from 1 species
AUGUAUCAUAAUGAGGUUUGGGAUUUAGUUGAGUUACCAGAUGGAUGCAGACCAAUUGGUUGCAAAUGGGUUUUCAAAACCAAAAGAGAUGCCAGAGGUCAGGUAGAGAGGUAUAAGGCCAGGCUUGUGGCUAAGGGUUUCAGUCAAAGAGAAGGCAUUGAUUACACUGAAACCUACUCUCCUGUUUCUACCAAAGACUCUUUUCGUAUUAUCAUGGCAUUAGUAGCUCAUUUCAAUUUAGAAUUGCAUCAGAUGGAUGUGAAGACAGCUUUUCUCAAUGGGAGCUUGUCUGAAGAUGUAUACAUGGUGCAACCUGAUGGUUUUGUUGAGUCUGGUAGAGAAAACAUGGUGUGUAAGCUUAAAAGGUCCAUUUAUGGACUUAAGCAAGCAUCCAGACAGUGGUAUUUGAAAUUUCACGAUAUUGUCACCUCUUAUGGGUUCCAGGAGAAUGCCGUUGAUCAGUGUAUAUACUUGAGAGUCAGUGGGAGCAAGUAUAUCAUUUUGGUGCUUUAUGUGGAUGAUAUCUUGCUCGCUACUAAUGACACUAAUUUGUUACUUGAGACAAAGCAAAUGUUGUCAUGCAGCUUUGAUAUGAAGGAUCUUGGUGAAGCCCAUUAUGUAUUAGGGAUAGAGAUUCUUCGUGACAGACCUAGAGGAAUUCUAGGUUUGUCUCAAAAGACUUACAUUGAUCGCAUUUUGAAAAGGUUCAAUUUGCAGUCUUGUGCUCCUGGGAAAGCUCCAAUUUCGAAAGGUGACAAAAUUUCCAAGUCUCAAUGUCCCGAUAAUGAUGUAGACAAAGCUAGAAUGCAAACAGUCCCGUAUGCAUCCGUUGUGGGUAGCUUGAUGUAUGCUCAAGUCUGUACUCGCCCUGAUAUUGCCUUUCCAGUGGGAGUACUUGGAAGAUACCUGAGCAAUCCUGGAUUUGAACACUGGAAGGCUGCAAAGAAAGUACUCAGAUAUUUGCGAGCCACUAAAGAUUUUGUAUUGACAUAUCAGCAAUCUGACUAUUGGCUAGGCUUGUGGCUAAGGGUUUCAGUCAAAGAGAAGGCAUUGACUACACUGAAACGUACUCUCAUGUUUCUACCAAAGACUCUUUUUGUAUUAUCAUGGCAUUGGUAGCUCAUUUCAAUUUAGAAUUGCAUCAGAUGGAUGUGAAGACAGCUUUUCUCAAUGGAAGCUUAUCUGAAGAUGUGUACAUGGUGCAACCUGAUGGUUUUGUUGAGACUGAUAGAGAAAACAUGGUGUGUAAACUUAAAAGGUCCAUUUAAGGACUUAAACAGGCGUCUAGACAGUGGUAUUUGAAAUUUCACGAUAUUGUCACCUCUUAUGGGUUCCAGGAGAAUGCCGUUGAUCAGUGUAUAUACUUGAGAGUCAGUGGGAGCAAGUAUAUCAUUUUGGUGCUUUAUGUGGAUGAUAUCUUGCUCGCUGCUAAUGACACUAAUUUAUUACUUGAGACAAAACAAAUGUUGUCAUACAGCUUUGAUAUGAAGGAUCUUGGUGAAGCCCAUUAUGUAUUAGGGAUAGAGAUUCUUCGUGAUAGAUCUAGAGGAAUUCUAGGUUUGUCCCAAAAGACUUACAUUGAUCGCAUUUUGAGAAGGUUCAAUUUGCAGUCUUGUGCUCCUGGGAAAGCUCCAAUUUCGACAGGUGACAAAAUUUCCAAGUCUCAGUGUCCCGAUAAUGAUGUAGACAAAGCUAGAAUGCAAACAGUCCCGUAUGCAUCCGUUGUGGGUAGCUUGAUGUAUGCUCAAGUCUGUACUCGCCCUGAUAUUGCUUUUCCAGUGGGAGUACUUGGAAGAUACCUGAGCAAUCCUGGAUUUGAACACUGGAAGGCUGCAAAGAAAGUACUCAGAUAUUUGCGAGCCACUAAAGAUUUUGUAUUGACAUAUCAGCAAUCUGACCAUUUGAAUAUAGUUGGAUAUUCUGAUGCUGAUUUCGCAGGGUGCUUGGAAGACAAGAAAUCCACAUCUGGUUACAUCUUUAUGAUGGCAGGAGGAGCUAUAUCAUGGAAAAGUGUCAAGCAGACACUUAUAGCUUCUUCAACAAUGGAAGCAGAAUAUGUAGCCUGUUUUGAGGCUACACGUCAUGCUUUAUGGAUGCAGAAUUUUAUCACAGGGCUAGAUUGUAUAUUGGCCGUUCCGAGGCCACUAAAGAUAUACUGUGAUAAUUCUGCAGCUGUUUCUUUUUCUCACAACACAGGGAGUUCCUCAUGUUCCAAGCACAUUAAUAUUAAAUAUUUGUUUGUGAGAGAGAAAAUUGCUCUAUCUUGUGUAUCAGUAGAGUAUAUCCCUACAGAACUCAUGUUAGCUGAUCCACUUACUAAAGCUUUAGCUCCAAAAGUAUUUAGGGAGCAUGUAACGCAUAUGGGAUUAUUUGAAUCCACUUAUAUAUGCUGAGUCAGUGGGAGUUCUGGUUUGUAUUAUGAGUUGCAACUUAAAUGAGCUUAUGUAUUACUCAUUUUGUUAUCAUGCAUGCAUGUUGUUAUAUAAUAUUGAUAUGCCAUAUAUUGUGUACACAUUUGGUUACGUAUGGCAUUAUGUAUAAAAUGAGGAUAUUAUGGUCCGAGACAUUAUGCUCAGUCUCAAUAUGGACAUUAAAAAAAAAUAAAAAAAAAAUAAAAAAAAUAAAAAAUAAAAAAUAAAAACUGAAGCAUUAUGACUAGCUUCAGUGUGCUUUCUUGAGACAUUUUGAUUUAGUCUCAUUAUAAUUAUAAGAAAGCACGACUUCCUUGAGACAUUUUGAUUUAGUCUCAUUAUGAUGAAAAAUGGAAGCUCGCUUCUCGAGACAUUUUGCUAGAGUCUCAUUAUGGUUAUAAAGAAGCGAUUGUCUAGAAGACAUAUUGUUUUUCGUCUCAUUUUGCUAGACAUGUGGACUUUGUGGAAAUGAGCAUGUUGAUCACAUUGUCAUGUUAUUUCCAUAAUUAUACUUGUAUACUACUACAUAGUCAUGUGUUUAUGAAUGUCUUGUUAUGUGGAGCAUCCUGUCGGUGCACAUAUGAUUUGAUAUUUAUGGGCACAUUUUGGACUUAUUUAUGUUUUGGGUGAUUGCUUGCAUUUGACCUUUUGUUAUAGUCACAUAUUGAUUAAUUCGGUUGUUUUCAAAAUCUUAUUUUAUUUUUAAAUUUAUCCUUAGAGUGAUUUCUGCCGUCCAAGUGGGAGAUUGUUAGAUUUAUUUCUCACAUUAUGUGGACUGACAUAAAUCAUUCUAAUUGUUUUCUAUAUUUUACCGAAUUAAUACGUGACUAAAGUCAAAUAUUGUUGAGCAAUUUUGACAUACCCUGUACAGUAGUAUAUUAUGGACAAGUAUAUCCUUAAUUGUGUUAUUUUCGCCCAUAAUGGGAUGGGCAAUUUUGUACUAACACAUGAGGGGUCCCUGCGCUCAACCACUGUAUUUAAGUAACUUCAGCCCAUUGGAAGUUAACUGUUUAAGGAAUCUGUGGCAUGAGUGCAGUGCAUCUCUCUCUCUCCCGUUUGUCUCCCGUGUGUGUGCACAGUAAGUUGCUGAGAGAAGCCGUGAUCUUGAGCUAAGGAAACGAAAGCGGAAUUCAGAAGCUAGACAAAAGUAGCAGCAACUCUGUUGAAGCUCCAUAACAAGCUGCAAGCUCGGAUUCAUGGGAGAUCGUGGUAAAUUUCGAAAUUUACUAAAAUAUGUGUUUAAUUUGGAAAUGCACGAUUAAGGGCAUAAAGUGUGUUUUUGUUUCAUCAGUUGAUUCAUUUGAAGUAUUUGGAUUAAGGAGUUCACCUAUACAUAAGCUGCUAGCAUGCAUUGAAAAUUUGCGGAGACUACAGGUGCGUUUGGGUGUGAUUUGAGGCAGCUGGGCUGUGUGUUUGGUUACACCUUAUAGCUGCAUUUUGGCAGCUCAACAACUUAGAUGCUAUGGCUUUUACUCAACAGCUGUGGCUUUCACUCCAUAGUAGUUGCAGUUUAAAAGUUACAGCUGUAACUCUCCAACUCCAUUAACAAGGUAUUACAGAAAAAUUGAGGUGAAACUGUAUUUUAUCAUUCUCAUAUCUAAAACUUUCAAAAUAAUAACCAACAAUAAAUGUUCUAAACCUCCAAAAGAAAAGAAAUAAUGAAAUAAAUAUACGCUUAAGUAAAUAUCAUCCCAAAAGAAACUAAAAUAUUUGUAACUUAUUAACAUAACAAUAUUCCCUAAAAGAAACCAAACUCUUAUUCUUCCUCCUAAGACUAUAAGCUCAUAUCAUUUAACUCUAUCUGCAAAAAUAUUGUAACAAGGGGUGAGCCGUCAACUCUGUAAGUAAAUUCAUGCAUAAUACUAAAAACUAUUAAAAUAUAAUUGAUUGAAUUUCAUAAAUAUGCAUAAUAAUAAGGGAAAUUACCUUUGUAAAUCAUCAUUUAACAAAAAUAAAUCACAACAUCAUAAAGUCAUUUAAAUCCUUUAAACAUAACAUUAGUGUUUGAAACACAUAAAACAUAAAUAGCUCAUACUGUAUAAUAUCACCUAUAGACCCGGUGACUCGGCCAUAUAAUAUCAUUUAUGGUACAAUACUCCGUGGGAAUCAUUAACAUUAACAUUAUAUAUGCACAAGAUCCAACUAACUUUCCAUAACAUAACAUCACUAUGGAAAAUGAGCCAAAUCAUUUAAAACCAUCCUUGAAAAUUUAAUCAUUUGUGUGUGUGUGUAUUUCCACAAAUUACAUUUAAAUAAUUGAUAAUUAUUUCAAAGUACUUGGCUCAAAACAAUUUAAUUAAACUUUUCAUUUUUAAAACAAUUUAUAAAUAAGUUUUUAAUAAAUAAGUUUUAUUAUAAAUAAUCUUAAAGAAUGAUUUUACUAAACAAAAAUUAUAAUAGAAUAAAAUAAAUAAGUUUCAUAUACUUUUCAUUCAACAUAAUACAUAACUCGAAUUAGAAGUAAUUUAAUAGUGAAAUACAUGUACCAUGCAUGAAUCUACUUACCUCAAUACUCGGCAAUAAAAAGAACAGUAACCUUAUCCACGAGCUCAUUGUCGUCUUAAAACAUCAAUAUGCAUCCUUAUCAACAUUACUACUCAUUUUGACUUUAAUAUAAAUUCAACAUAACCAAGCCUAAUCAUCAGCACUAAACAAUCAAAGCUAGUCUAAACCUCACCGUCUUAUACAAGCUGAUUUCUACCAAACUAAUCAUAUGUCAUAAAAUUGUAAAAAUUAAGGAAAAGAAACCAUAAACAUGUGCAGCAUUUCAUUUAAAAAUUUAAAAAAUGAAUAAAAUUUAGAAACAUAUUGCAAAAGGAAUUUUACAUGCAAAAAACAAUGGUAGCUGAAUUAGAAAAUUCAUAAAAUAUUUAAUAAAACUCAUAAAAAUUAGACCACUUGAUUUUACAAUAGUAGAAACAUCAAGAAAUAAUAUAUCAAAUUUUUAGAAUUUUUGAAGAUGUAAAACUAUUUUAAACGAAUUUAUAUUAAGAGACCAACAAACUUGUCCAGAAACUUUCAGGUGGUGUUUUGUAUUUCAAAAAUUCAUAACUUAAUGAAAAUUAGUUAAAUAAGCUUUAAAUCAUAGAGGACUCAUAAUAUUAUACGAAUAUAAUUUUCAUAGAUCAUUUUAAAACUUUUAAACAACCUAAAAUAAUUUUACCAUCAGCCAUCGCAAUUCUGGAAAGCAGUCUCCAUUGCAGCUGCCCAACAUAACGAUUUUUAAUAAUUUUUGUACUCAACCAAAAAUUAUGAAAAUUAAGCAUACAUAUGUAGACAUAAUGAGGAUUACUUGAUAGUUAGAAAAAUCGGUAAAGUCAAACAUGCUGUUGAAAAUUGGAAUUUUCCAGCACCACUGUUCUAACUUCAAAAACUUACAACAACAUGGUUACUUGGAAUCUCUUUGUACAAAAUACAUCAUUGAAAACCUUAGGAUGUCUACUUUAAUUCUAUGGAAAUUGUGUGUGGAAAUUAAAUAAAAAAUAAAGGAGAAACAGUAAUCAAAUCACAACACUCAUGCCUCAUAAUACCUAGCCAAUCAUUCAUGAUAAAGAUAACAAUUGAUGCAUUCAUUAUCAAACACAUAAGAUUGUAUUAUAGAGCAUGUAUUAAAUAAGGAUAAAUAGCUCAAAACUUCUUUCAAACGUGCAUAAAAGAAAACCCUAGAAUUCUUUGCUUUUAUACAUUUAUUUGAUUAAAGAGUUUUAAAUCAUAGGGAGAUAGGAAGAGUUUAAGUUUCAUAAAAAUGCUUACUUUUAUAGAAAUACAUUAUACUAUAAAGAUGAUAGGGAUGACAAAAAUCUCCACGGGGACGGGUACCCUCGGGGAUUUUCCCCAUUUGGGGAGGGUAUGGGGAUAAUUUCAUACCCAAUUUCUUAUUCGGGGAAGGGACGGGGAAUUUUUUUUACCCAAUUUCUUAUUCGGGGAGGGGACGGGGAUGAGGUGGAAUCCCCAUCCCCUACCCAUUUCCCCAUUUUAAUUUUUAAUUUAAUUUUUAUUUUUUAAAAUUACUAGUAAAUAAAUAAUAAAAUUUCAAUUAUAAAAUUAUAAGUACUGGUAAAAAUAAAAAAUAUCAAAAUAUUUAUAUUAUUAAACUUUUAGGCUUAAUUAACUAAUUAAAGUCCUAAAUUUUUAUUUAGGACAUUAAAAAGACCGAACAAAUUCUAUUAUCCCAAAACUUUUAUUUUUAUUUUAAUAUUCAU